AAUAUUUAAUGAUUUAUUGAUACAUAAAACGUGCAAACAGUUUUUUUUAUUUAGCUUAGUUAUUUUUUUUUUUACAUGAACUCUAUAUUCGUUCAAAUCAAUUAUCUUCCAACCACUCAGAACAAGCAAAGUAAACAAGGGAAAAAAAGAAAGAAACUGUCAAAGAUAAACAUCAAUUACAAAAUAAUAAAAAGGAAAAAAAACUAGAAAGUUGAACUCUGUUGUAAAGAGACACUCAAGCAUUAAGAGUUUGAAAACAUUCUACUUGAUGACAGUGUUAAGUGUAAUGUUAGCAGCUCAUGGAACUAGACUGAUCUGAAAGCCAGGAUGGUACAACACACACACAUAUGUUCACAUUCAUACCUUAAGGUGGCAGCCAAAUCAAUUUUUUUAAAUGAAUUUUUUUAUCCUACC